AAUAAAACAAAAUAAAAAAAGAUUAAUGAAAUAAGAUAAACCAGUCAUGGGUUCAAACAUUAAUAUGUGAUUAAAAAAAAAUAAACAUGGGUCUAACGCCCAAUUCCAACCUACUUAAAACCUAAAACAAACUCUAAAAUAAAUAAAAAUGAUAACAUAAAAUAGUAGGAGAAAACAAGUGAUAAAUAAAAGUAAAUAUAGCAUAAAAAUAAACAUGGGUCUAACGCCCAAUUCCAACCUACUUAAAACCUAAAACAAACUCUAAAAUAAAUAAAAAUGAUAACAUAAAAUAGUAGGAGAAAACAAGUGAUAAAUAAAAGUAAAUAUAGCAUAUGAAAUACUGUAAAUGAGAGUAAGGACGGUACACCUCCUGUUCCAAAACUUUUGAAUUUCAAAAUGCCAUGUGACCAUAAAGAAUAUUAAAAAAAAAAAGAAAAAAAAAAAA
rnacentral:lncRNA from 1 species